AACGAACGCUGGCGGCAGGCUUAACACAUGCAAGUCGAACGCGUGUAGCAAUACACGAGUGGCGCACGGGUGAGUAACGCGUGGAUAUCUGCCUUUUGGUUCGGAAUAACUCCGGGAAACUGGAGCUAAUACCGGAUGGUUCCUACGGGCUAAAGAUUUAUCGCCAAAAGAUGAGUCCGCGUACGAUUAGCUAGUUGGUGGGGUAAUGGCCCACCAAGGCGACGAUCGUUAGCUGGUCUGAGAGGACGAUCAGCCACACUGGGACUGAGACACGGCCCAGACUCCUGCGGGAGGCAGCAGUGGGGAAUAUUGUACAAUGGGGGCAACCCUGAUCCAGCCAUGCCGCGUGAGUGAUGAAGGCCUUCGGGUUGUAAAGCUCUUUUGGCGGGGACGAUGAUGACGGUACCCGCAGAAUAAGCCCCGGCUAACUUCGUGCCAGCAGCCGCGGUAAGAC
rnacentral:rRNA from 1 species